GUAACGUGGGAUCACGGCAUGCCCGCUUUGGACGGAUGACUUGGGAAAAAGGGGCAAAGGUGUAAGAGCUGCUCAGGGAAGCAGGGCACGUCACUCCCCUGUUUCCCUCUGCUACCCGAGGAAAUGGUGUUGCCCCCCGCGACGUGAAGGUCGGGUGAGAGAGCAGGUGGCACUGGGAGCGAGUGUUCGCCCCUAGACGAGAGGCAGCUGCAAAUCGCCUGGUCCCCGGCAGCCCAGCUGUUGGAUGUGUAAAUAUUGGCGUUGUUCACAUAAAUAUUACAGAUUGUGGCAGUGAGGUUCCAGCUCCGGUGAGAAAACCCAGCCCUGCGGCCUCUGAGGAAAAAGCUGAGCUUGGCUGUGCUGCUUUGCUGCUUUUCUUCCUUGUAGGGGCCAGGCCCUGCUGCGGCACACCAGCGGGAGAGGCCUCGCCAAAGCCACGUCCAAAGCCGGUCCUUGCCCACCCGUGGGCUGCAGCCUGCGCAGUGGUGCUCAGGGUGCGCAGCGGCACAAGUGGGGCAGCCCACGGCCCCGCUCGGCGUGGGGCACCCCAGAUGCGCCCGUGGCUUGGCCGGAGAGGGCGGUUUCAAAAUGCUCAGGAGCCCAGGAUGCAAGGGCAGGAACCUCUCCCGAUCGCCACAACCUUUCAAAGAUAAUCAAGAAUGGCCUUGCAGUGCACUGACCGGUCUUGAUAGAGCUGUGUAGUUAUCUGCUAGCCACUGUGGCUUCCACAUGCGCCCGCUGCCAGCCCCACUGUCCUGUCACCACCACAGCCAGAAUGACGCAUGGGAUUCUGGAUGGCGUCUGCUACUCACCUCUACGCUGACAUUGGAAGAAUCAGCUUUUUUCCAGCUAACGAGCCUUCUCAAGAUGUCCCCUGUGUCCUCCUUCCCCACCAGAAGAAAACCAAAUCGUGGACUGUGUCUUUCCACCCUUGUACAGGCUACAGAACGGGAUGAGCUGCCACAAUACCCUUAUCUCAAAGACCAGCAGUUACCUUUUUCUGAGUCUCUGCCUACUGCUGAACGUCCA
rnacentral:lncRNA from 1 species